UCAAGACCAGCCUAUGCCAGAGACCCUGUCUCAGAACAAAGCACUAAGCCUUGGUUAAGGAAUCAAUCAUGAUUCUGUCUUCAUAAUCGUCUCUGUGUCAACAGUCAAGUUAUUUGUUCUUCGUUAGCCUGUUGGACUUAUUGUAGGGUAAAGCCGCCCUUGCACCCCUUCUUAGUGUCAGUUACCCCGUGUGGUUCAGUACGUCUGAAAUUAUUACAGACUUGCCGUUUUCUCAGAAUUAAGUGUAGAUCAGGUGGGCGAUGCCUUUUCUUAGUAUUGAGUGCUCUUGUAAGUGGAGGAGGCUAGCCCUGCCUGUUAGUUGCUGAGGUUUGGAGCCGUGGACUCCUCUGGAGUGUGUACAGUAUCUGAAUUCCUUUACUAGUCCACAAAAGCUGCACGCUGCCAACUUCUCUGGCUUUGGAGCUCUAAAUUAAGGCCAGUUCCUUUGCUCAUCCCACAAACUCUUUCAUGUUCCCUAACCGCAGCCUGAGCAAGGCGCCUCGGUUUCAACAGCAGCAGACCAGCAUAUGUUUACUUAAUUCCUAAGACAUGAUGACAGUGGUCUCUGUGCCACUAAAAGCUUUCUCUUUAUUAUUUUCGGGUGAAGCUGAUUUCCCAGCUCUCCUUGCCUGUCACGUGUGUUUUACAGCGCCUUCAGUGCUGCCCAUGAAGAGCAGUGGAAGUUAAAGGAGCAGCAGAUGAAAGUGCAGAUUGCUCAGCUCGAAACUGCCUUAAAAUCUGAUCUUACAGACAAAACCGAAGUCCUUGACAAACUAAAGACUGAAAGAGGUACAUAGAAAUAACCACCCAUUUACUUAUGCAGACAUCUGAUGCUUAUUUGCUGAGUCAGCCAAUACUUCAUGUAUGCCUACUGUCCGCCAGUCAUCCUGCUAUCCUCUGGGGACAAAGCAGUGCAUAUUACAUAUAUAUAUAUAUAUAUGUAUGUAUGUAUGUAUAGUGGGGGGGGAGGUAUAUGUAUAAUAUAUGACAUACAUAUAUGCCUUAUAUGUAUGCCAAAAGAAUUGUUUCUCAGAUUCCCUUUUAUCCAAGUUGUUUUUCAUUAGUUUAAUAUCCCUAAGUUCUGAUCUUUCCUUUAUUUCACAGUCAACAAAUAUUUAUUGAACAAGUGCUCAGCAUUGUUCUAAGUUCCAAGGAUACAGCAAAUAAAAGGCUUACUCUCAUAACUCAUGGAAGCCAACAGUAGUUAGAGAAGUCUGUGAUUGUACAGGUAAUAGCUGAUACAGUGGGGAAGAUCCAAAGAAAGCCUCUUGCAGAUUUUGAAAGAUCAAACCAGAGCAAUCUAAUAGUAAGAUGUCUGUAUUUAUUCUAUUAACCAAGAUGCUUUGUCAAAAUGUCGCUGUUAAGGAAUAAUCACUAAACAUAAUCAUAUUAGGUCUUGUCUCAUAGAGUAAAAUGUAAUUAAAGAUGUCUGGACUGCUGUAUUCCACACUGACUCAUACGCAGACGCAGUGCACACAGAUACACUGUGUUGGGUGAGAGAUUUAUAUUCAAGUUUGGCACCUGUGUGUGCACCCAUAAGAUACACCCAGGAAUAUAGUAAGAAGGUUGCUCCUUUGGAACAUUUGCAAGUCAGUUACACGAGAAUUGUAGAAGUUGGAUUCAGCGACAUGGUGGCGCAUGCCUCUAAUCAUAACACUCAGAAGACCAAGACAGGAGAAUUGCAAAUUCCAGACCCGCCUUGGGCUACAUAGUAAAACCCUGUGUCCAUAACAACAACAACAAAAAAAUGGUUUAAUACAGACUUAGUGAGAAAAAAUGUACUUUUAGUUAGUACUCUUACCACAGGGUCACAUUUUAUUGAAUAAAUGGAACAUAAUUUUUCACUUUUAAUAUUCCUAGAACCAGAGUGCAUCCAUAAGCAAUAACACUUUAAAACUACUUAUACAUGUUUCUUACAUUUCACAAGCCUACAGUAGGCACACAGAGUCAAUGGAGUCUUUAUUCCAAUAGCACAGUGGUCGGGAUUUAUCCACCCGAUGAUUAAGUUGACUGACAGGUUGCAUGAGUUUCUCUGGAGGAGUGUGCAUGGAGUUAAAUGGUGGUGCUCUUUCUGUAUUUUCUUAGAUAUAAAGAAUACCAAAACUUGUGUCUUUCAGACAUCUGAAUUGACAUCUCAAACAAAACUCUUAAGAGGGAUAGAAUCUUAAUUUCUUUUUAAACUAUUGUUUUCAGUUGAUUUGGAGAAUUCUUAUUAUUGAGUAUUAUAGUUGCUAAGAUACCCUGAUAAGGUAUUCUGUUUUCCCUAGUCAAUCUCAUCUGUUUUCACUAGUUCUUAUCUUUAAGGAUCCUUUGAAUAUUUAAAAUAAUGUCAUGUGCCCUGUUGAAGAGGUCUAGAUAUGUUGCAACCCUCAAGUUAGUCUCUUCUGGAACCUGUGGCUCUUCCUCAAGUUGUUAAGGUGUUGGUGUGUAUGUACACACACACACACACACACACACACACACACACACGGAUUAAAGUUUACUCACUGUGUGAUGAAGUCAGUCAGUCCUCUGGUAUGAAUUUCAAUCUAUGCUCUCCCUGUUGACAAUGCAUGCUGCGGUUUCUCAGUGUGUGAAUGUCCAGGAGAUGAUGCAGCAGUCAUUGAUGGUGAAGAGUAAAGAAAUAAUGUUGGCAUCACAAGUCACAUCAUCCUACAUAAAAAAACUCUUAGCACAUUUAUCUAGUUACUUUCUAAGUAAAAGUUGCAGGAACUGGGAUUUCCCAGUUAUUUUCUCUGAAUAGUUUAAAUUUACAAAUAUAAGGAUUUGGUCUUUAUUUAUAAAAUCUAUUAAAAUGAAUUCUAAGAAAAAAGUUAAAUAACUAUGCUUGUAAUAAUGAUAAAAAUAACUUUUCUAGCUUUUAAUCAUUUUCCUAGGGAAAGAAACAAAAAUUUGAAAUUAUCUAUUUAAGGAAAUCUUUGACUAUCCAGAAAGUUUCUUUUUGUGGUGCAGAUUUUGAAAUGGUUUCACUUUUCUUUGAACUCCCCUCACACAUUUGCCUUCUCUUGAUUCAAGUGCCGGUCGCCAGAAGAUGCUUCUCUGGCUUCUCGUAGACAUUCAUCUAACGGGCAAAUUAUUUUUAGAGAAUAUUCACCUCUUUAUUCAAGGUACAAAUUAGUUUCAGAUUGUGUGAAUCUGUGGGGGAAGGAUAUGUAAAUGCAGUUUGCAUUUGGUUAAUGCUUAAAUGAACUGCAUGUGUUUAAGGGCUUGCUUUUGAACGUUCCUUUCUAUCUUUAGCUGAAAUGCAUAAUUCAGCAUAGUGCAUAUGGUUAUAUUGAUCACAGCUGAAGAUAUUAGCACAAAGGAGCUCUGAAAAUUGUUUAGUUGAAUUGUUCUCUGCACUGUUAUUAAUGGCGUGCUGGAAGAAUGUAAGUUUAAAGAGCAGAAUUGUAUCUCAUUUGAAUAAAAUGCUGUUUAGCUUAACCUGCUUUUUGUCAAAUCGUAAGGUAAGGGCUUGUUUUUCAUCCUGUAUGGAGUGCUUUGAUUUUUCAUAUUAUAAUUCAGCAAGCCUAUUUUCUCUUUGAACUGUAGCAGUGUGGUGUUUUUAAAGGCCAAAACAUAUCCUAAAUAAGCAGAUUGAUAAAGAGAGAAUAUAAUGUAUAAAUCUACAUAAAUUCUCCAGAGAGAAGGUCGGUAGUGCUUAGUGAUGUGUCCCUGUUAAGUUACUCUCCCACAAAUGGACUCUGUUUUCAAAAUCUCAGUGAAAGGGGACAUAGCUGUCCAAACAGAGAAGAGUGAAGGAUGGAAACACAACUUUAUUUGUACCUAUUGACAUAUUCUUAGCUACACAAAAUUGAAAGCAUUUUGAGAGAGGGGGGAAGAUCACAGUGGGCAGAGCGGCGCACCCUUUGCCCAAUGGUUCCCAGCCUUCCUACUGCUGUGGCCCUCUAAUACAGGUCCGCAUGCUGUGCCAACCCCCAGCCAUAAUGCUAUUUCAUUGCUACUGUAAUCUUACUACUGUCAUGAAUUAUCAUGUAAAUAUCUGAUAUGCGACCCUGUGACAUGGUCGUUGGACCCCCUCCCCUCAGAGGGGUUGCCACUGCCUCUGUACCUUAGCUGGCAUCUUAGAAGCCUUGCUUCUGUAGACCUUGAGUGGUUUAGUUUAUCAGCAGCACCUGAGGUUCCCUCCCUCUCACAGUGGCUGGGUUUUAUUGUUAUUGUGGUCACUCUGGCCUUGUUAAACCGUUUGCUGUUAUUUGGUUGGUCUAUGUCACUAGCAAUCUAUCUGCUAGUUGUCCUAACUGGAUCAAUACCAGGAGUGCCACGUUACCAUUUAGUCCCUAACCAAAAGGUUUAUUAUUUCAUGGGAAUUCACAAUGAUUAGUAAUGCUAAUUUUUAGUUUGGAGACAAGUGUUUGAUCCAUAUCUUCAUGUUUACCAGGUGUUUUUCACACUUGGAAAUUUUUUUAUUUUACUGAGAUAUAAGCAGUUCAUACCAUAAGAUAACCUUUAAUUUUCUAUCUGUAUAAUAGAAGUGAUUCUAUACUUAAUAAUAAAGUAUCUUUUAUCUUUAUAUACCCAAGGAUUUCUAGGAACAACAUGAUAUUAACGAUAUCCUAAUUUACUCCACUUCUUCUUAACUGUGUAACUUAACAUUUUUACUUGUGUGUGGUAUUUAUAGCUUGGGGCCACAAAGCCUUGAAAAAAGGCAGAAACAUGUUUUUGUGUGACAACCAGUCAGAGUGCACACACAUUCAUGGGAAGAACUCUUGGCAAAUGUGUUACUUGCUUCCUUUAUGUUAAGAAAAGGAAACAAAAAUGUACAACUUUUAUUGAGGACUUAGAAUAAACAAAGUUGUUAAGUU
rnacentral:lncRNA from 1 species